AGAAUGAACGCUGGCGGCGUGCUUAACACACGCAAGUCGAACGGAUGAUUGGAGCUUGCUCCAAUCGUUAGUGGCGAACGGGUGAGUAACACGUGAGCAACCUGCCCCGAAGAUUGGGAUAACACCGGGAAACCGGUGCUAAUACUGAAUACCUUCCUCAUUUCGCAUGAUGAGAGGAAGAAAGUUUUUUCGCUUCGGGAGGGGCUCGCGGUCCAUCAGCUUGUUGGCGGGGUAACGGCCCACCAAGGCUACGACGGAUAGCUGGUCUGAGAGGAUGAUCAGCCACACUGGGACUGAGACACGGCCCAGACUCCUACGGGAGGCAGC
rnacentral:rRNA from 1 species